AUGGCUGAGAGGUAAAGCGCUAGGCUUCCGAACUAGGGGUCCCAGGUUCGAAUCCUGAU
rfam:Biomphalaria glabrata isolate BB02 unplaced genomic scaffold LGTN_random_Scaffold4081, whole genome shotgun sequence.